rnacentral:rRNA from 1 species
GAUGAACGCUAGCGAUAGGCCUAACACAUGCAAGUCGAGGGGCAGCAUAGAGUAGCAAUACUUUGAUGGCGACCGGCGCACGGGUGAGUAACACGUAUGCAACCUACCUACAUCAGGGGAAUAACCCGGAGAAAUUCGGACUAAUACCGCAUAAUACAGGGAUGCCGCAUGGCAAUAUUUGUUAAAGAUUUAUCGGAUGUAGAUGGGCAUGCGUUCCAUUAGCUAGUUGGUGAGGUAACGGCUCACCAAGGCAACGAUGGAUAGGGGAACUGAGAGGUUUGUCCCCCACACUGGAACUGAGACACGGACCAGACUCCUACGGGAGGCAGCAGUGAGGAAUAUUGGUCAAUGGACGAGAGUCUGAACCAGCCAAAUCGCGUGAAGGAAGACUGCCCUACGGGUUGUAAACUUCUUUUGUACAGGAAUAAAAGAAUCUACGUGUAGAUUAUUGCAUGUACUGUACGAAUAAGCAUCGGCUAACUCCGUGCCAGCCGCCGCGGUAA